rnacentral:rRNA from 1 species
UACGUAGGGUGCAAGCGUUAAUCGGAAUUACUGGGCGUAAAGGGCUCGUAGGCGGCCAACUAAGUCAGACGUGAAAUCCCUCGGCUUAACCGGGGAACUGCGUCUGAUACUGGAUGGCUAGAGGUUGGGAGAGGGAUGCGGAAUUCCAGGUGUAGCGGUGAAAUGCGUAGAUAUCUGGAGGAACACCGGUGGCGAAGGCGGCCCACUGGUCCGGUACUGACGCUGAGGUGCGAAAGCGUGGGGAGCAAACAGG